GAUGAAGAACUUAGCGAAAUGCGAUAGGUAGUGUGAAUUGCAGAAUUCAGUGAAUCAUCGAAUCUUUGAACGCACAUUGCGCCCCUUGGUAUCCCGAGGGGCAUGCCUGUUCGAGCGUCAUUUCACCACUCAAGCCUGGCUUGGUGUUGGGCGACGUCCUCUUUGGGGACGCGCCUCGAAACGCUCGGCGGCGUGGCACCGGCUUUAAGCGUAGCAGAAUCUUUCGCUUUGGAAGUCGGGGCCCCGUCUGCCGGAAGACCUGCUCGCAAGGUUGACCUCGGAUCAGGCAGGGAUACCCGCUGAACUUAAGCAUAUCAAUAAGCGGAGGA
rnacentral:misc_RNA from 1 species